UACGUAGGCAGCAAGCGUUGUUCGGAGUUACUGGGCGUAAAGAGUGCGUAGGCGGUUUUGCAAGUCUGUUGUGAAAUCUCCCGGCUUAACUGGGAGGGUGCGGUGGAAACUGCAAAGCUGGAGUGUGGGAAAGGUAGGCGGAAUUCCUGGUGUAGCGGUGGAAUGCGUAGAUAUCAGGAGGAACACCGGUGGUGUAGACGGC
rnacentral:rRNA from 1 species